UACGAAGGGGGCUAGCGUUGCUCGGAAUCACUGGGCGUAGAGCGCACGUAGGCGGACUCUUAAGUCGGUGGUGAAAUCCUGGAGCUCAACUCCAGAACUGCCUUCGAUACUGGGAGUCUCGAGUCCGGGAGAGGUGAGUGGAACUGCGAGUGUAGAGGUGAAAUUCGUAGAUAUUCGCAAGAACACCAGUGGCGAAGGCGGCUCACUGGCCCGGUACUGACGCUGAGGUGCGAAAGCGUGGGGAGCAAACAGG
rnacentral:rRNA from 1 species